rnacentral:misc_RNA from 1 species
UACGGAGGGUGCAAGCGUUAAUCGGAAUUACUGGGCGUAAAGCGCACGCAGGCGGUCUGUCAAGUCGGAUGUGAAAUCCCCGGGCUCAACCUGGGAACUGCAUCCGAUACUGGCGGACUAGAGUGCGAGAGGGGAAGGCGGAAUUCCUGGUGUAGCGGUGAAAUGCGUAGAUAUCAGGAGGAACACCGGCGGCGAAGGCGGCCUUCUGGAUCGCAACUGACGCUCAGGUGCGAAAGCGUGGGGAGCAAACAGG